AGUGAACGCUGGCGGUAGGCCUAACACAUGCAAGUCGAACGGCAGCACAGUAAGAGCUUGCUCUUACGGGUGGCGAGUGGCGGACGGGUGAGGAAUACAUCGGAAUCUACUUUUUCGUGGGGGAUAACGUAGGGAAACUUACGCUAAUACCGCAUACGACCUACGGGUGAAAGCAGGGGAUCUUCGGACCUUGCGCGAUUGAAUGAGCCGAUGUCGGAUUAGCUAGUGGGCGGGGUAAAGGCCCACCAAGGCGACGAUGCGUAGCCGGUCUGAGAGGAUGAGCGCCCACCCUGUAACUGAGACACGGUCCAGACUCCUCCGGGAGGCAGCAGUAGGGAAUCUUCCGCAAUGGGCGAAAGCUUGACGGAGCAACGCAGCGUGAGUGAUGAGGGCCUUCGGAUCGUAAAACUCUGUUAUUAGGGAAGAACAAAUGCGUAAGUAACCAUGCACGUCUUGACGGUACCUAAUCAGAAAGCACCGGCUAACUACGUG
rnacentral:rRNA from 1 species